rnacentral:rRNA from 1 species
UAAUACAGAGGUCUCAAGCGUUGUUCGGAAUCACUGGGCGUAAAGGGUGCGUAGGCUGCGGCGUAAGUCAGAUGUGAAAUCCCGGGGCUCAACCUCGGAAUUGCAUCCGAUACUGCGUUGCUUGAGGGCUGGAGAGGAGUCUGGAAUUCAUGGUGGAGCAGUGAAAUGCGUAGAUAUCAUGAGGAACGCUAGUGGCGUAGGCGAGACUCUGGACAGAUCCUGACGCUGAGGCACGAAGGCCAGGGGAGCAAACGGG